UUUCCUGUUCCCACUCUCCUCUUUCUUUUGUCCAAUAUUCAAUUAUAUUUAUGUAACAUAAUUUCUCUCUUUUUCACACAAACAUAUGAUAUGAUGUAGGGGUUGGCUAACAAUGAGAUCCAGUGAAGAAGAUAUAAAAACAAUGAUCUCUUGUUUAAAAAGAGGUGGAUUCAUCAACAUGGUAAAAAUUCAUAUUUCAGCAGAGCCUCAUUACAGAAAAGUAUGGAUGGCCGUUUUAUUGAUUUUGACGACUGGAUCUCUCUAUGAAUGGAAAAGGGGUGCUUCGGAAUAUUAAGUGAUCAACAUGUUAUCUCUUUGUCGACCAAUAAUUUGCCCGUCGUGCUUGCCAAUAGGGUUCUGUAACUGCAUAUAAUCCUGAUAUCAAGUAUAGAUUCUAGAAAAAGGAUACACCUAGACUUGGGAGGCUUGAUAACACAAUUGCUCUUACAUUCAUGCUCUUCGUAUUACUAGAACGGACGUUGCCAUUCUUGUAUAUUGGACACUUGAUGUUACUAUAUGAUUGUAUGCUCUUGCUAGUUUAAGUUAACCAGGUAGAAUUCAAUUUA